GAUGAACGCUGGCGGCGUGCCUAAUACAUGCAAGUCGAGCGAACAGACGAGGAGCUUGCUCCUCUGACGUUAGCGGCGGACGGGUGAGUAACACGUGGAUAACCUACCUAUAAGACUGGGAUAACUUCGGGAAACCGGAGCUAAUACCGGAUAAUAUAUUGAACCGCAUGGUUCAAUAGUGAAAGACGGUUUUGCUGUCACUUAUAGAUGGAUCCGCGCCGCAUUAGCUAGUUGGUAAGGUAACGGCUUACCAAGGCAACGAUGCGUAGCCGACCUGAGAGGGUGAUGGGCCACAGUGGGACUGAGACACGGUCCAGACACCGACGGGAGGCAGCAGUAGGGAAUCUUCCGCAAUGGGCGAAAGCCUGACGGAGCAACGCCGCGUGAGUGAUGAAGGUCUUCGGAUCGUAAAACUCUGUUAUUAGGGAAGAACAAAUGUGUAAGUAACUAUGCACGUCUUGACGGUACCUAAUCAGAAAGCCACGGCUAACUACGUG
rnacentral:rRNA from 1 species